GACGAACCGUGCGAACGUUGUUCGGAAUCACUGGGCUUAAAGGGCGCGUAGGCGGGCUGCGGCGUCCGGGGUGAAAUCCUCCCGCUCAACGGGAGAACGGCCUCGGAUACGGGCGGCCUCGAGGGGGGGUAGGGGCAUCUGGAACUGUGAGUGGAGCGGUGAAAUGCGUUGAUAUUCACAGGAACUCCGGUGGCGAAGGCGAGGUGCUGGACCCCUUCUGACGCUGAGGCGCGAAAGCCAGGGGAGCGAACGGG
rnacentral:rRNA from 1 species